AACGAACGCUGACGGCAGGCUUAACACAUGCAAGUCGAACGCAUCCUUCGGGGUGAGUGGCAGACGGGUGAGUAACGCGUGGGAACGUGCCCUUCAGUUCGGGAUAACCCAGGGAAACUUGGGCUAAUACCGGAUACGUGCGAGAGCAGAAAGAUUUAUCGCCGAAGGAUCGGCCCGCGUCUGAUUAGCUAGUUGGUGGGGUAAUGGCCCACCAAGGCGACGAUCAGUAGCUGGGCUGAGAGGAUGAUCAGCCACAUUGGGACUGGGACACGGCCCAAACUCCUACGGGAGGCAGCAGUGGGGAAUAUUGGACAAUGGGCGCAAGCCUGAUCCAGCCAUGCCGCGUGAGUGAUGAAGGCCUUAGGGUUGUAAAGCUCUUUCGUCCGGGACGAUAAUGACGGUACCGGAAGAAGAAGCCCCGGCUAACUUCGUGCCAGCAGCCGCCGCAGUAA
rnacentral:rRNA from 1 species